rnacentral:lncRNA from 1 species
ACCAGUUUACACAGGUGAAAUUAGAGACACACACACAAGCAAGUCAUUGUGUAAAACAGAAAUGUAGUUUGAGAUUUGGCAUCUUUAGUAGGAGACAGUUUUGGCUUAACUUUGUUUCCUUGCAUGUAUGAUCACAGGAAAAGCAAGGAUGAAAAGGAACAGAGAUUUCUCCAUUUCACCAUGGAAAGUCUGGCAAAAUGACAGCAACGAUGAAAGACGGACAGACGCAGGUUUUAUCUUUAUUGCCCACAGUGUGGGAAACUGUUACACAUAUAUACCACAAAGUCUGUUUCCAAGCUUGAAAGUGAAGGGCUUGAAGAAACAAACCAAGCCAACCAGGCAAACGCAUGUUUUCAGAACGUAAAUGUUGUUUGCAGCCUGGAAAGAAUUGCUACAAAUUUUUGCAGAGAUUUCCCCGAAAUGCUGUUGACCCUGGGAAGGAGCUUUGUUGCUCUCGCAGGGAAGCUGCUGCUGAGAACAGCAAGAUGUUAGUGCCACCUGGUGCUCACAUUUCGACGUGGCAAAGAAACGGAGAAGCGUCACAGAAGAGGCACUAGAAGGGGAUUUGGAACAUCUUGUAAAUCACCAAACCAUCUAAGAAGACUAAUAAUAAUAAAUAAUUAAAAAACUAAAGC